rnacentral:misc_RNA from 1 species
AACUUUCGACAACGGAUCACUUGGUUCUGGCAUCGAUGAAGAACGCAGCGAAAUGCGAUAAGUGAUGUGAAUUGCAGAAUUCAGUGAAUCAUCGAAUCUUUGAACGCACAUUGCGCCCUCUGGUAUUCCGGGGGGCAUGCCUGUUCGAGCGUCAUUACAACCCUCAAGCUCUGCUUGGUAUUGGGCUUCACCAGUUCUGGUGGGCCUCAAAAUCAGUGGCGGUGCCAUUCGGCUUCAAGCGUAGUAAUUUUUCUCGCUUUGGAGAUCCGGCUGUGUGCCUGCCAACAACCCCCAAUUUUUUAAAGGUUGACCUCGGAUCAGGUAGGGAUACCCGCUGAACUUAAGCAUAUCAAUAAGCGGAGGCU